rnacentral:rRNA from 1 species
CCUGAGAAACCCAAAAGAUCGAAUGGGGAGAUUCAUCGUCAGCGAUCCUGGCACAUGCGCGGUUCGUGAUACCACAAGACUCCGGUCUUGAGGUACGCGUCCGUGCGUUUUUUUUGCCGGGUGUUGUCGGCGUGCACUUCUCCCCUAGUAGGACGUCGCGACCCGUUGGGUGUCGGUCUACGGCCCGGGUGGGUGCCUGUUAGUGUACGGCGCUUUACGGCGUUAUGUGUCUGACAGACCCCCGGUCGUCUGACCAGCUGCCCGGCGGUACUCGCACGGUAUCGAGCCGCAAAUUUGAACUGCGUCCGGCCCGCCGCAAGCGAGGUCAGUGUUUCCCGGAUGUACGGACCUGGUGCCGUCACCGGGCCUGGCCAGCUGUUGGUUGGCGGUGUCCUGGGACUGGCUCUUUUACGAUACCGGUCGGCGACGCUACUGCUUUGGGUACUUUCAGGACCCGUCUUGAAACACGGACCAAGGAGUCUAACAUGUGCGCGAGUCAUUGGGACUUUUUAAGCCUAAAGGCGCAAUGAAAGUGAAGGUCGGCCUUGCGCCGACCGAGGGAGGAUGGAUCGCGUCGCGAGAUGCGGUCCCGCACUCCCGGGGCGUCUCGUUCUCAUUACGAGAAGAGGCGCACCCAG